AAAUUGAAGAGUUUGAUCAUGGCUCAGAUUGAACGCUGGCGGCAGGCCUAACACAUGCAAGUCGAGCGGUAGCACAGAGGAGCUUGCUCCUUGGGUGACGAGCGGCGGACGGGUGAGUAAUGUCUGGGAAACUGCCUGAUGGAGGGGGAUAACUACUGGAAACGGUAGCUAAUACCGCAUAACCUCGCAAGAGCAAAGAGGGGGACCUUAGGGCCUCUCGCCAUCAGAUGUGCCCAGAUGGGAUUAGCUAGUAGGUGAGGUAAUGGCUCACCUAGGCGACGAUCCCUAGCUGGUCUGAGAGGAUGACCAGCCACACUGGAACUGAGACACGGUCCAGACUCCUACGGGAGGCAGCAGUGGGGAAUAUUGCACAAUGGGCGCAAGCCUGAUGCAGCCAUGCCGCGUGUGUGAAGAAGGCCUUCGGGUUGUAAAGCACUUUCAGCGAGGAGGAAGGCGGUAAGGUUAAUAACCUUAUCGAUUGACGUUACUCGCAGAAGAAGCACCGGCUAACUCCGUGCCAGCAGCCGCGGUAAUACGGAGGGUGCAAGCGUUAAUCGGAAUGACUGGGCGUAAAGCGCACGCAGGCGGUCUGUUAAGUUGGAUGUGAAAUCCCCGGGCUUAACCUGGGAACUGCAUUCAAAACUGACAGGCUAGAGUCUUGUAGAGGGGGGUAGAAUUCCAGGUGUAGCGGUGAAAUGCGUAGAGAUCUGGAGGAAUACCGGUGGCGAAGGCGGCCCCCUGGACAAAGACUGACGCUCAGGUGCGAAAGCGUGGGGAGCAAACAGGAUUAGAUACCCUGGUAGUCCACGCUGUAAACGAUGUCGAUUUGGAGGUUGUGCCCUUGAGGCGUGGCUUCCGGAGCUAACGCGUUAAAUCGACCGCCUGGGGAGUACGGCCGCAAGGUUAAAACUCAAAUGAAUUGACGGGGGCCCGCACAAGCGGUGGAGCAUGUGGUUUAAUUCGAUGCAACGCGAAGAACCUUACCUACUCUUGACAUCCACAGAAUUUGGUAGAGAUACCUUAGUGCCUUCGGGAACUGUGAGACAGGUGCUGCAUGGCUGUCGUCAGCUCGUGUUGUGAAAUGUUGGGUUAAGUCCCGCAACGAGCGCAACCCUUAUCCUUUGUUGCCAGCGAUUCGGUCGGGAACUCAAAGGAGACUGCCGGUGAUAAACCGGAGGAAGGUGGGGAUGACGUCAAGUCAUCAUGGCCCUUACGAGUAGGGCUACACACGUGCUACAAUGGCGUAUACAAAGAGAAGCGACCUCGCGAGAGCAAGCGGACCUCAUAAAGUACGUCGUAGUCCGGAUUGGAGUCUGCAACUCGACUCCAUGAAGUCGGAAUCGCUAGUAAUCGUAGAUCAGAAUGCUACGGUGAAUACGUUCCCGGGCCUUGUACACACCGCCCGUCACACCAUGGGAGUGGGUUGCAAAAGAAGUAGGUAGCUUAACCUUCGGGAGGGCGCUUACCACUUUGUGAUUCAUGACUGGGGUGAAGUCGUAACAAGGUAACCGUAGGGGAACCUGCGGUUGGAUCACCUCCUUACCAAGAAG
rnacentral:rRNA from 1 species